UCCUCUCCUCUAACCGGCCGCCUUCCAUGCUUACACAUCCAUGAUUGUUUUGUCAGAGAACAGAACACCACAGAGAGAGAGAGAGAGAGGGAGGGAGGGGCAUGUUCAUGGUUCAUGAGUUCAUGCUUCUUUUCCCUCUGCAUAAUGGCCUGCAGCUUUUCAAACUCUAUAUAUACGUUUGCAGCUUCCUCCUUCCAUUUUGUCUCUCAUCAACCAAAACUCCAAGUCCUUGCCAUACCCACUGGAACUGCCGAUUCUAACAAAUCUUCCUCUGUCUCCCUCUAACCACCUCAAGAAAAGAGCCAAGAAUGGAGAGGCUGAACUCAAAGCUCUACCUGCAAAACUGCUACAUAAUGAAGGAGAACGAGAGGCUGAGGAGGAAAGCCCAGCUUCUGAACCAGGAGAAUCAAGUCCUCCUCUCUGAGCUGAAGCAGAAACUCUCCAAAUCCUCCAAAUCAAACAAUGACCCAAAUGGUGCCGCUGCUACAACCAUUCCAGAUCUCAACCUCUGCUCAUCUUCCUCAACAAAUCCUACUAAGGCCAGCAAACCCUGAUUCUAUCCAUCACCAACAUGAUCAAGAAGAGUCGCUGAGCAAAAAAGAGGAGUUUGAUGAUAACCCUAGUUAGAGAGACUAAAUUGUUACCCUCCUUUUUUUUUUGGUGUAAUAUUUUGCCCAGCAACAGUGUUAGUUCUAGUUUCAGUUAUGUAGGGACUGUAGCAGCAGGACAAGGAGAAGCAGUAUCUUCUUAUGUAGCUGUAGAAUUUUCUAGUAUUCAAUCCUUUUCUUCUAUGUUUGUGUUAGCAUCUCUCUCUCUUUCUCUUUCUCUUUCUUUUUGGUUCUUUGGUUGGGGGGUUGAUAGAUGAGGAUAUUUUGUCAGACCGUGGUUUAUAGGGAAAUAUGUGGAAAUAUUAGUUAUCAAUA